rnacentral:rRNA from 1 species
GCCUAGCCCUAAACCUUGGUAAUAUAUCACAUACCCUACCCGCCUGGGAACUACGAGCACCAGCUUAAAACCCAAAGGACUUGGCGGUGCUUUAGACCCCCCUAGAGGAGCCUGUUCUAGAACCGAUAACCCCCGUUCAACCUCACCCUUCCUUGUUUAUCCCGCCUAUAUACCGCCGUCGUCAGCUUACCCUGUGAAGGCUUAAAAGUAAGCACAACUGGCACAACCCAAAACGUCAGGUCGAGGUGUAGCGCAUGGAGGGGGAAGAAAUGGGCUACAUUCCCUAUAUUAGGGAACACGAACGGCGCACUGAAACACGCGCCUGAAGGAGGAUUUAGUAGUAAGUGGAAAAUAGCGUGUUCCACUGAAAUUGGCCCUGAAGCGCGC